UGCUCCCAGCGCUGCAAGCGUUUAUCCAAAAAAUAAUCUCACCAUUAUUUUUGGAAAAAGAAGGAUCAAAAAGAAAAAGGGAGUAGACCAAAGUUUUCCUUCACCAAAGAAUGAAGAACAUAGUCUAAAGGGAUUUCCCAAGUGGCAGAACUUUACAGCUGGCAGAAACUUUAAAGACCAUGUGGUCAAACCUCACAGAGUUUCAGAAAGAAAACAAAAGCUGUGGCUUUGGGCAGCAUAGUGACUGGCAGGACAGAGGCCACUUCCACCCUUCCACAUCUCAACCUUCUCCACCGGCUCCUGGAGCUGAUUCCUUCUCCACUACAGCCCGUGUCUACCUUUGUGCCUGUGACCAGAAUCGUGGCAAGCAACAAAUCCAAGCAGAUGCUCCUGGCCGGCAGCCACACAUGGCAUCGAGCUGCGCCUUGGCUGGAGCCCUCCCCACCCUGGGAGGCCCAGAGAGCUGGCCCUCAUGCACCAGCUGACCCUUCCGUCCGGCGUGUCCCAGAAUGCACAGUCACUGGCGUGAGCUCUCCCCAGCCCUCCGCACCAGAGGUGGCUCCUCCUUCUCUGUCCUGGGAAAUAAAACAAUGGUAA
rnacentral:lncRNA from 1 species